CUAAAGUUUUAUCCUGGCUUUAAUUUUCAAUCUUAGAUUAAGACACAUGUAAAUUUUAGUGUGACUAUAUGAAUAACUGUAAGUCUUAAUGAUAAUGUUAAAGAUAUUAGUAGAAAGAUUAAUAAUAAACUAAACCUCAGUGUCUAGUACUAAUUAAAUAAAUGAAAAUUUGAAUUGGUUAUUGUAACUUAAAAAUUGUAACCGGUUAAAAUUUGUGCCAGCAGCCGCGGUUAGACUAAGGGUUAAAUUGAAAAAGUAUUGGUUAAAAAUAAUUAAAUGAAAAUAUAAACAAAUAAAAAACUUGUACUAAUAAAAGGUGAAAUUAGAUUUUUAGGUAAUAAGUUAUUUAUAAAUUAAAAUAAAUAUUGAAGUUAUUAAGGUAAAGCCAUAAACUAGGAUUAGAUACCCUAUUAUACUUUACUUUAAAUUUUUCUGUACCUGGGUAGUAAACAGCUAUAAUCUUAAAACUCAAAGGAUUUGGCGGUAAUUUAGUCUACUUAGAGGAACCUGUCCUGUAAACGACAAACCACGAAUAAUCUUACCUUAUUUUGUAAAUGAAACAGUUUGUAUACCGCCAUUAUCAGAUAACUUUACAAAAAUAUUAGUUAUUAAAAUAAAAAAAUUUUAAAAUAUUAGGUCAAGGUGCAGCUAAUAAUAAGGGAGAGAUGGGUUACAAUAAAUAAAAUUAUUACGAAUAAAAAGUGUAAAUUCUUUUUUGAAGGAGGAUUUAAAUGUAAAAGUACUUUAACAAGGUACCUUGACUUUAGCACUAAGUUAUGUACACAUCGCCCGUCGCUCUCGUUAAUUAAAGCGAGAUAAGUCGUAACAUAGUAGGUGUACUGGAAAGUGUACCUAGAGGGCA
rnacentral:ncRNA from 1 species